rnacentral:rRNA from 1 species
AUGGAGGACGCGAAGGAGGACGAAUCGACGGCACCCUCACCGGUGCAUGCCGGCAUCACCAUCGGUGAGGCCCGUGCCCACUACAUGGACAUGGUGCUGGAGGAGCGGGAGGCCAAGUUUCAGCGGGCGCAGGCCGACGAGGCCUACAACCUCCACCCCCUCGACGAGCACCGAUGCACUGAUGAGCAACUCGUCGCCGGCACAGCCAUAGUGUCAGACGUGGAUGCGGCCGAGAAGAAGGCGUUGGUCGACUCCUACCGCACCGCCCGUGAAAUCCGCCACAACCGCUGGUUGUCAUCCAGUAUCAAGCGGAUUUACAAGUCGCCUACAAGGAGAUGGACGAGGCAGCAGAUAAGGUGUUCGACAAGAGCGACGAGUAGGAGGACAUCGCUAGCUCCACCACAGCCGCGCUCCGCCGUCAUGACCAUAAAGCCAGCACGUCCGCGAGCACCACACGUAACAAGAAAAAGUAAAGCAGUGGAAGGUCCAAUACAGUAG